GACGAACGCUGGCGGCGUGCUUAACACAUGCAAGUCGAACGGAGAGGCCUGCUUUCCCUUGUGGAUUGCGGGUACUCGAGUGGCGAACGGGUGAGUAACACGUGAGUGAUCUGCCCCCAACUUGGGUAUAAGCCUGGGAAACUGGGUCUAAUUCCCGAUAGGACUGCAGGGUGGUGCCUGUGGUGGAAAACGAUUUUCUAGUGGUUGGGGAUGAGCUCGCGGCCUAUCAGCUUGGUGGUGGGGGAAUGGCCUACCAAGGCGGGGACGGGUAGCCGGCCUGGGAGGAUGGACGGCGGCAUUGGGACUGAGAUACGGCCCAGACUCCUACGGGAGGCAGCAGAUGGGAAUAUUGGAGAAUGGGCGGAAGCCUGAUGCAGCGACGCCGCGUGGGGGAUGACGGCCUUCGGGUGGUAAACUCCUUUCGACCGCGAGGAAGCCACCUGGUUGGAAGGGUGGUGACGGUAGUGGUAGAAGAAGCACCGGCUAACUACGUG
rnacentral:rRNA from 1 species